AGGGCGCAGGGCGAAUGCCUUGGCACUGGGAGCCGAUGAAAGACGUGAUAAGCUGCGAUAAGCUUCGGGGAGCUGCAAAUAAGCAUUGAUCCGGAGAUUUCUGAAUGAGGAAACUCACCUGGGUUCAUACUCAGGUACGUUGUACUGAAAUUCAAAAUAGGUACAUCGAGGGAACCGCCUGAACUGAAACAUCUAAGUAGGGCGAGGAAGAGACAUCAAACGAGAUUCCGUAAGUAGUGGCGAGCGAACGCGGAAGAGGGCAAACCGAAGGUAGAAAUACCUUCGGGGUACGGAGCGCAUUUAAGACUUGAGUUGUUAACCGAACGGCAUGGGAAGGCCGGUCAGAGAGUGUGAGAACCACGUAGGUGAAAGCGACAAGAGCUGAGCGAUUUCCAGAGUACGGCCAGACACGUGAAACCUGGUCGGAAGAUGGGGGGACCACCCUCCAACCCUAAAUACUACCCAGUGACCGAUAGCGUAUAGUACUGUGAAGGAAAGGUGAAAAGCACCCCGGGAGGGGAGUGAAAAAGAACCUGAAACCCUGUGCCUACAAGCACCUAGAGCACGUCAAUGUGUGAUAGGGUACUUUUUGUAGAACGGUCCGGCGAGCGAUUGUAUGCAGCAAGGUUAAGGACUUAAGGUCUGGAGCCGAAGCGAAAGCGAGUUUGAAAAGGGCGUUAAGUUGCAUAUAAUGGGCCCGAAACCGGGUGACCUACCCAUGGUCAGGUUGAAGUGGAAGUAAAAUUCCAUGGAGGACCGAACCGACCUCCGUUGAAAAGGCGGCGGAUGAACUGUGGGUAGCGGAGAAAUUCCAAUCGAACCCGGAGAUAGCUGGUUCUCUCCGAAAUAGCUUUAGGGCUAGCCUCGACUGAACAUUACUGGAGGUAAAGCACUGAAUGGGCUAGGGGCCGAGAGGUUACUGAACCCUAUCAAACUAAGAAUGCCAGAUAAUGAUAGUCGGGAGUCAGACAGUGUGAGAUAAGUUUCAUUGUCAAAAGGGAAACAGCCCAGACCCACAGCUAAGGUCCCCAAGUAUCGUUAAGUGGAAAAGGAUGUGGAACUGCCCAGACAACCAGGAUGUUGGCUCAGAAGCAGCCAUACAUUCAAAGAGUGCGUAAUAGCUCACUGGUCGAGAGGUCCUGCGCCGAAAAUGUCCGGGGCUGAAACGCGCCACCGAAACUAAGGAACCGAAAGGUUGGUAGAGGAGCAUUGCAUGCGGGAAGAAGCAGUACCGUAAGGAGCUGUGGACUGCAUGGAAGAGAGAAUGCCGGAAUGAGUAGCGAGAAUAAGGUGAGAAUCCUUAUGGCCGAAUAUCCAAGGUUUCCAGAGUAAAGCUGAUCUGCUCUGGGUAAGUCGGGGCCUAAGGCGAGGUCGAAAGACGUAGUCGAUGGAUAACAGGUGGAGAUUCCUGUACUAUGUGUACCCAGAACUGUGGGGACGCAUGUGGAGAGCAUGAGCCGGGAAAGAGAAAACCGGUACAAGCGGGGUAGGAGUAAGGACAGCAAAUCUUCCUUACAAUCCGAAGACGUAAUGUGGACCGAACCAAAGUAGGGAAGCAUGUGAGCCAUGUGCCAAGAAAAGCCGCUAUUGUGAUACACAUACCCGUACCGUAAACCGACACAGGUGGAUGAGGAGAGAAUCCUAAGGCCGACGGAAGAAGCAUUGUUAAGGAACUCGGCAAAAUGACCCCGUAACUUCGGGAGAAGGGGUGCCUGCGAGAGCAGGCCGCAGAGAAUAGGCUCAAGCAACUGUUUAGCAAAAACACAGGUCUAUGCGAAACCGAAAGGUGAGGUAUAUGGGCUGACGCCUGCCCGGUGCUGGAAGGUUAAGAGGAGAGGUUAGCGCAAGCGAAGCUUUGAAUUUAAGCCCCAGUAAACGGCGGCCGUAACUAUAACGGUCCUAAGGUAGCGAAAUUCCUUGUCAGGUAAGUUCUGACCCGCACGAAAGGCGUAAUGAUUUGGGCACUGUCUCAACAGCCCGCCCGGCGAAAUUGUAGUACCGGUGAAGAUGCCGGUUACCCGCGACAAGACGGAAAGACCCCAUGGAGCUUUACUGUAGCCUAAUAUUGGGUUUCGAUGUUGCAUGCACAGGAUAGAUGGGACACUGGGAAACAAUCGCUUUGGCGGUUGCGGAGUGGCCGUUGGGAUACCAUCCUUGCGAUAUUGGAAUUCUAACCUGCGGCUCUGAAUCGAGUCGGGGGACAUUGUUAGGUGGGCAGUUUGACUGGGGCGGUCGCCUCCUAAAAAGUAACGGAGGCGUUCAAAGGUUCGCUCAGCUUGAACGGAAAUCAAGCAAAAGAGUGCAAACGCAGAAGCGAGCCUAACUGCGAGACUGACGGGUCGAGCAGUAACGAAAGUUGGAGUUAGUGAUCCGGUGGUAUGUGAGUGGAAAUGCCAUCGCUCAACGGAUAAAAGCUACCCUGGGGAUAACAGGCUGAUCUCCCCCAAGAGUCCACAUCGACGGGGAGGUUUGGCACCUCGAUGUCGGCUCAUCGCAUCCUGGAGCUGAAGUCGGUUCCAAGGGUUGGGCUGUUCGCCCAUUAAAGCGGUACGCGAGCUGGGUUCAGAACGUCGUGAGACAGUUCGGUCCCUAUCUGUCGUGGGCGCAGGAUAUUUG
rnacentral:rRNA from 1 species